UAGCGUGGUUGGAAGCAAACUGCUUUAGCCUUCUCUGACAGUAAAGCUUUGAUACACCUGAAAGAAGAUUGUAUCCAAAGAGAUAGCAGAGAGAAUAAAUUCUCUUCAGCAACCCGUCAGAUUUACAGUGUGGUGGCACAGCUUCAUCAGUUGAAGAUAAAAGCAAGCUAUUUUGUUCACUGAGGAUUUAUAUACAAAGUACUUGAUGAAAAGAUUCAUUUCCUGCUUGAGAGGCCCAGCAAACAUGAAGAAAUUUAUAGAAUUAGAGAUUGCAGCAAUUGGGCUCCUACUCUCUCAGCCUCAGUACUUUUAUCCUGGAGGAAAUAAGUCAGGUGUUUGUACUUGACUUUAAAACACAGAUGCUGAAGAGUUGCAGCACAGAUGCUGAACCAUAUGUUUGAGAGAGAUGGAGAGAUAUGUCCUGGGCUUCUGUGUGUAUGUUCUGUUCAGAAGAUUUUGAGAGUUCAGAAUAUCAUCAGGGAACCUGCAUGACCAGUAGGUCUGCUGCUUCUUAGUGAGAGCUCGUAACAAGAGGAGGGGAGAGCUUGUGUGGCUGAACGAACGGGUGGAGGUCAUGAUUCUCUAUAAAGAAGAGAGCUUGGUGAGAGGGGAAGCAGGAAAAUUCUGACCAGCUUGAAACACUGACAAAACUGAGGCUGACUUGGAGGCAAUGCCAAAUCCGUGGAGUGAGGAAGUCCCAGUACUGGUGUUACUUUACAGAAGUCUGUGACUCUGCAGCACUUAAUAAAGCAACUGGUUGAGAAAUUCCUUU